rnacentral:lncRNA from 1 species
CUCUAAACCCUAAUGUUUGGAUUAAUUAACCCAAAAGGUAUAAGUGUAUAUUUACCUCUUUAAUGAAACCUAUUUUUGUGACUUUGGGCCUUGAAUGCUACUUUGGGAACAAAAACUUGGUUUGGUGCUAUCUUAGUCUUUUUCUCAAGAUAUAUGUAUAUAAUAAUAUCCUUUUAAAGAAAAUUUACAAGUUUCUCUUUAAACCAAACUCCAACAAGAUCAAGACCCUCUUGAUCUUGAUUUGUUACUGAUAUGCCAUGGAUUUUACUCACUUUUAUCCAUGAUUUAUAUAUGUUUUAGAGUCUUUUAUAUAUAUUUGGAGUCUUUUUAGAGACUUUACAUGUUCAGAUACUCAUUGGACAUAUUUGGAGCUUUUGGGAUCAUUUUGGAGCUUUGAAAGAAGCUCUGCGGAAAAUAUGAAGUCGGAGCCAACUAUUACAACAAACAUCGAUCGACGGAAGGCAUGAAGCGUCGGUCGACAUUUUACUCCGAGGGUUUAAUGAUGAUUUUGGGAAAUUAAAAGUUUUACCCAGAAGUUCCAAUAUAUUGCACCAUUGGUCCCUGGCAGCCUGUUAGACUAUUUAUAAUGGUUUUUCUGUUAUACUUAGACAGAC